AGCGAACGCUGGCGGCAGGCCUAACACAUGCAAGUCGAACGAAGUCUUCGGACUUAGUGGCGGACGGGUGAGUAACACGUGGGAACGUGCCUUUAGGUUCGGAAUAACUCAGGGAAACUUGUGCUAAUACCGAAUGUGCCCUUCGGGGGAAAGAUUUAUUGCCUUUAGAGCGGCCCGCGUCUGAUUAGCUAGUUGGUUAGGUAAAGGCUCACCAAGGCGACGAUCAGUAGCUGGUCUGAGAGGAUGGUCGGCCACAUUGGGACUAAGACCUGGCCCAAACUCCUACGGGAGUCAGGAGUGAGGAAUCUUGCGCAAUGGGCGGAAGCCUGACGCAGCCAUGCCGCGUGAAUGAUGAAGGUCUUAGGAUUGUAAAAUUCUUUCACCGGGGACGAUAAUUACGGUACCCGGAGAAGAAGCCCCGGCUAACUUCGUGCCAGCCGCCGCCGUAACAC
rnacentral:rRNA from 1 species